rnacentral:rRNA from 1 species
UACGGGGGGAGCAAGCGUUGUUCGGAUUUACUGGGCGUAAAGGGCGCGUAGGCGGCCUCUGCAAGUCGACUGUGAAAUCUCCGGGCUUAACCCGGAAAGGUCAGCCGAUACUGCAGGGCUAGAGUGCAGAAGGGGCAACUGGAAUUCUCGGUGUAGCGGUGAAAUGCGUAGAUAUCGAGAGGAACACCUGCGGCGAAGGCAGCCGCCUGGCCUGACACUGACGCUGAGGUGCGAAAGCGCGGGGAGCGAACGGG